UACGUAGGGGGCAAGCGUUGUCCGGAUUUAUUGGGCGUAAAGAGCGUGUAGGCGGCGAGGUAGGUCAGCUGUGAAAACUCGAGGCUCAACCUCGAGACGCCGGUUGAAACCAUCUGGCUAGAGUCCGGAAGAGGAGAGUGGAAUUCCUAGUGUAGCGGUGAAAUGCGCAGAUAUUAGGAAGAACACCGGUGGCGAAGUCGGCUCUCUGGAACGGUACUUACGCUGAGACGCGAAAGCGUGGGGAGCGAACAGG
rnacentral:rRNA from 1 species